CCAAUAGCGUAUAUUAAAGUUGUUGCAGUUAAAAAGCUCGUAGUUGAAUUUCAGGCCUGGCUGGACGGUCCGCCCUUCGGGUGAGUACUGUCUGUGGUCGGGUCCUACCUUCUGGCGAAGCGUCAUGGCCUUAACCGGCCGUGGCGGGGAACCAGGACUUUUACUGUGAAAAAAUUAGAGUGUUCAAAGCAGGCAAUCGCUUGGAUACAUUAGCAUGGAAUAAUGGAAUAGGACAAUGGUUCUAUUUGUUGGUUUCUAGGACCGUUGUAAUGAUUAAUAGGUAUAGUUGGGGGCAGUAGUAUUCAAGUGUCAGAGGUGAAAUUCUUGGAUUUAUUGAAGACUAACUACUGCGAAAGCAUUUGCCAAGGAUGUUUUCAUUAAUCAAGAACGAAAGUUAGGGGAUCGAAGACGAUCAGAUACCGUCGUAGUCUUAACCAUAAACUAUGCCGACUAGGAAUCGGGCGAUGUUGACAAAAUGACGCGCUCGGCACCUCAUG
rnacentral:rRNA from 1 species